rnacentral:rRNA from 1 species
AGCGUAGACGGUGUGGCAAGUCUGAUGUGAAAGGCAUGGGCUCAACCUGUGGACUGCGUUGGAAACUGUCAUACUUGAGUGCCGGAGGGGUAAGCGGAAUUCCUAGUGUAGCGGUGAAAUGCGUAGAUAUUAGGAGGAACACCAGUGGCGAAGGCGGCUUACUGGACGGUAACUGACGUUGAGGCUCGAAAGCGUGGGGAGCAAACA